rnacentral:rRNA from 1 species
UACGUAGGUGGCAAGCGUUAUCCGGAAUUAUUGGGCGUAAAGAGCUCGUAGGCGGUUUGUCGCGUCUGCCGUGAAAGUCCGGGGCUCAACUCCGGAUCUGCGGUGGGUACGGGCAGACUAGAGUGAUGUAGGGGAGACUGGAAUUCCUGGUGUAGCGGUGAAAUGCGCAGAUAUCAGGAGGAACACCGGUGGCGAAGGCGGAUCUCUGGGCCGAUACUGACGCUGAGACGCGAAAGCGUGGGGAGCAAACAGG